GUGAGGAAUAUUGGACAAUGGGCGCAAGCCUGAUCCAGCCAUGCCGCGUGCAGGAAGACGCAUCUAUGGUGUGUAAACUGCUUUUGUACGGGAAGAAACACUCCCUCGUGAGGGAGCUUGACGGUACCGUAAGAAUAAGGAUCGGCUAACUCCGUGCCAGCAGCCGCGGUAAUACGGAGGAUCCAAGCGUUAUCCGGAAUCAUUGGGUUUAAAGGGUCCGUAGGCGGUUUAAUAAGUCAGUGGUGAAAGCCCAUCGCUCAACGAUGGAACGGCCAUUGAUACUGUUAGACUUGAAUUACAAGGAAGUAACUAGAAUAUGUAGUGUAGCGGUGAAAUGCUUAGAUAUUACAUGGAAUACCGAUUGCGAAGGCAGGUUACUACUUGUGGAUUGACGCUGAUGGACGAAAGCGUGGGGAGCGAACAGGAUUAGAAACCCCAGUAGUCC
rnacentral:rRNA from 1 species